GCACCCGUAGCUCAGCUGGAUAGAGUACAAGCCUCCGACGCUUGGGGUCACAGGUUCGAAUCCUGUCGGGUGCACCA
rnacentral:tRNA from 1 species